UCUUCGAGAAACAUCCAUCUCAGUGUGGCUUGGGCCUUAGCGGUUCAGUGGGUGUCGGUGUUACCGAUUAUCAAGUGUCUACUGGCCUGCUAAGUCCCAAGUUGCUCUGAGAACUGCCUUCUAGAUAUGUC
rnacentral:precursor_RNA from 12 species